UCUUAAUUGAUUAGUUUACUUUUUUUGGAAGGCAUUAUUAAAGAGACCGUUCCCUGCGGGGAACUUCAUUUCCAAGAGAAAUAUAUAUCAUAUACAGCUAAUGUCCCAGGCACUGUCGCAGCGCAUGCUGUUCAGGGACAAAGCGCUGCCAGCCCAGGGAGGCUUUCUCACCAGCUAGUGCUAAAGGUGCUCAGCUGAACGGUGCGGAAAAGAGCUGCUCCUGCAGUGAGUAAUUCUCAACAUCCAAGUGCCCGUGUGGGCCUGAAAAUGGCUGAGCAAAGAGCAGGAGCUGCCGCCACACGGGUGUGUGUGCAGAGGAUGUGGUAGCAGGGAAAGCAAGAGCUGCAUUUUCUGCGUAGGAGCAGCCUGAGCUGCAUAACUUUACUUAAAAUGAAGGUUGCAGAGAGCUUCACCAAGGAAACAAUGCUUUUCCCAGCAAAGUCAACAGGAAAAUAUUCCAACUAUUUCAGAGGAGGAAACAUUUUGACUGAAAUAUUUGUGUCUGCAUAUCUUUAUAUAAUAAGGCUGUAUAUCUGCUCCAUGAGUGCGUGUGCACCUGGCUAUGCUAGCUGAAACUUCCAGAGGAAGGAUAUGAAAAUUUCUGUUUGGUAUUUUCUGUGGUUGUACUAGUUCAAAGUUAUUUCUUUAAAUGAAUUGUUCUAAAAACAGGGAGCUCAAAAGCCAGUGCUACACAAGGAAGGCUCAUGCAUUUUUCACAAUGGUUUUAUUGUUCGUGAGAUUGGCACAUGGAUUAAAAUUAGUGAACCUGUUAAUUCACUUCACCACAACCUUCCUACCAAAAUGCAACAGCUUUGUCCCAGAUUCAACAGCCCUACAAAACAAAAAUUAACAUUAGGAAAUAUAUUUAUUUCUUUUUUGAAAAUAACAGAAUAGUUUUUGCUGAAAAUCAGGGAGAAAAAAAAACAAUCUGGGGCAAGAAGAGAGCAUGAAAUGCUUUAGCCCAAGUGGAUAAAAUGAGAUAUAAGCAACUGAACACAGAGAUUUAUCAUGAAAAACGUUAAGCAACCUUAUCUCUCUGUGUUGCUAGCAGCUCCAUCUGUUAUACACAGUAAAAAUACUGAAACCAGAAAAGCAAACACAGCAACAAUCAACUUUAUUUAUUGAAAUAAAGAUGCAUAAAACAACACUCCUAUAUCAAAAUGUCCUAGAGGAAGAAAACCAAUCUCACCAGGCAAGGUUUCCCAGUCCUGAAAGAACUACGAAGGGAAUUGCUGGAGGCAAAGAGCUGCUGUUGUGUAGGAAGCGAUACACCCUGAGAUACAGAGGACAGAAGGAUUUCUGACACAACAGAGGCUUUCUAUAAAAUAUUCCAGGUUGUAUUUUCUAUGGCAGUAUUAGAAUUCUCUUUUUCAUUUUCCUUUCUUGAAAUGAGCUGUUCUGAGAGUAUACUGGUCAAAGUGAUUUGCCCUUUCCCUAGGAGAUUAUAAAGCGGGAAUCUAUUUUGAUGGUUAAUCAUUAAAUGGAGUCCUCUCCAUUUUCAGGAACAGAGCAUUUCCUAAAAGAAACGGUGACUGAAAUGAAACGCUAUGUAUUCCAGCAACCUCGGCUUGCAAAUAAGCUGACGGUUAUGCAAGCAAUGGCACAUGUGGAUCAGGUACUGUCUGAAUAAGCAACUGGAACUUUUUGGUUUACAAAUAGUGAGCUGGUACCCAUGGCACCUUAGGCAACAGGUAACUGCUUCUGUGCAGGUUGUUAUCAUCUGGGUUAUCUAAAAUAUGCUUUCUGCUGCACUUGCUGCAGGGGGCUGCAGUGUUUAUCAGAUUUAUGGACUUGUACCUCUGUAAUUCUUACAGAACUGGAUGGUCAUGAGCUGUUCUCCUCAUGAAUUCUCCAGGCUUGGUACAUGGAAAAUAUGCUCCUUCUGCAGGGAACUGGAAAGAAGAAAAUCUCAACUUCAAGAUUGUGUUGCAUUUAGCUCACAUCACUGUAGAAUUUUUGACACACAGAGAUGGAAUAGUGAAUGCUGCUGUCAAUAAAUAACCGCAUCUUCCAAGUGCCCUUUCCUUGUAGUGGUAGCUUCUGUUUGGCCUCUAUUAGAACAUACCACCUGUGUUUUGCUAUGCUGUGUUUCGUUUUCCCAUCAGAGAUACUGAAGUGUAUUUCAGUGCUUGAGUGGAAAUCCCACUCAGCAUUAUUUGGAAAAUGCCCUGUUUGUUAACCAAACAGUUUGUGCUAGUUAUCACUGAGUCUAAAAGGAUAUCAGACUUCUGGAGAUUUAUCUAAGGCAAAAAUGGCUGCUAGAGAUCAAUGUCCAGAUCGCAAACUUCAUUCAUUUUCCUUCUGCAUACCAGAGACAAUGACUCAUGUUUUCUAUCUCUUCGUUUUGCAUGAGCCUUAGUAGAUGGCUCAUUUGCAGCCAAAGAGAAUAAAGACCUGCAAAUGGCAAAUUAAAUUCUUGCAGUUCAGUUUCAUCAUCUUUUCCUCAAAUUUGCAAAAGAUUUUUUGCUAACACAAAAAUUUAAAAUCUGCAACAGAUAUUUCACCCCAGUCGUAGGUGGGCUUCCUUAUUAAAUCACAAAAUCUUAACUGCAGUAUUCUA